CAGACUGACAGGCUCCCGGGGCAACGUGACUUCCUCCGUCCAAUCAGAGCUCAGAGACCAGGAAUCAGCCGCAGAGCUCUUUUUGCACGAGUUUAGUGUGCACCGGCGCAAACCUGUGCACGUUUGGAUAUUGGUGGAUCCCUGCUCCCAUGAUCUAUUGGCGCACCCCUUUGAAUGCCACUCGUCAACCCUGAGGGAUCCCAACCAGUCCAGUGCUAUCUCAAGCCCACUGAAGUUUCUCAGGUGGGCAGCAACCCAGCAACAGGAGUGCUCCUUAUCUGUUCCUUUGUGCAAGGGGAAAGUGAUCUUCCAUCCGUGUAAUCUGAUGGCUCCUGGAUGAGCGAGCAGGCUUUACAUGACACUCCACUGUGGCCUCAUCUGAAUAAUGCAGCUCUCUCAAGUUAACAAAGCUCAUCCGGCGUCUUUCAACACAAGCACUCUGUGAAAAAAGCCAUCAUCCUCUGUGAUAAAGUUGCACGUCUGUGGAAACUCCAUUAAGGGACGAGUGAGACCAACGAGCGACUUGCUACAGCUCCUGGAGGGAAUAUUUCAAAGAGGAACUUUAAACAUUUGGGAUAACAUCAACGCUGCUGGCAGCACGCGUGAAAGCCGAGCGGGACCUCCUGAAACAUUUUAACCAGAAGAGCCAAGCGCCAACCCACUGUAGAGCAUCCACGUAGCAGGCUACUGCCACCCAGCGAGCGGCCAACACCAUCCCCCGAGCAGGGUCAUGGAGGACUCUGAGAUCUGUUCCGUGCCUGGGGGACUCGCCAGCAUGAGGAAACAAUUUACGACCCAGGAAACUAUCUCUACGACCACAUCACAUGUAACCCAGUUCCAUUUCCAGCGCAGCAGUGUGCAGGAAAUGUCACACUCGGAGUCAAGCAGCGGGCAACAGGUGGUUGCAAGCAGUCAGCAGCUGCAAUCCAAACAAGAAACAAUGGU